ensembl:lncRNA
GAGAACCAUAGAAUUGAAUGCGAGAGGAGCCACAUUCCAAGAUGGCACAGGACCCAGGGUUCUGACCUCCCCAAAGAGGUCAGACCCAAAGAGCAGGCCCUCCAGGGCUGCUCACUGACCUGAGCUGGGCAGAAGUGAAAACCCCAGGGCUCCUGGGAGAUGCAGCCCUGGGUACCCUGUGGUCAGAACUGCUCUGGCCAAUGUCUCUCUCCCACCCUGGGCCUCCCACUGGCCCAGACUUACCUGCCUGAAGCACAGGGCCCAAGCCAUUUGGUCAUCAUGGGUUUACCCAGGGUUGUAUGGCAAACCUCCCUUCACCUCCUCCCUACCCCCGCAAUUACCAUUCCUCAGAGGUGACCGCCCCUCCACAUGGUUAGAGACUGCAAAAGAAGUUUUAAAAGGUCUAAGAGCCAGGCUGGAGUUUCAUGUGCGGUGGUCAGGAGUGCCCCCCACCCCCGAGUGCCUGCCCCUCCCAUGGGGACAUUGCACCUGCCUCCUGCUGUCCAGAGGUGACCUCUGCCACUGAGUCCUUCACAUCCCCAAAGCACCUGGUCAUGCCUCAGUCUACUCCUCGUCCUUCAGCGCAGUGGCUGACACGGUCUCGCUUACUGGAGGGUGAGUUCUCUGGAGGCUGGACUUCGUCUGCAUCUCCUCAGCCCUAAAGGGCAGCAAGGCGCCAGGACCUGCGGGCUCUCAAGAAGUGGUCACUGAAUGGAUGAAGGACGAGCACAUGGAUGAGCCUGCAGACGUGGGGCACAUGGAUCCAGCCCCUUCCGGGAGGCGGUGUAACAACACCAAGGAAAUUCCAGGUCAGAAGGCCGAGCUCCCGGCACUGACACCUACUGGCAGCAAAUCCCCGAGAAACCAAGGGCUGUUCCCGCACAUCAGCUCUCAGGGAAGCUGCCGCCGCGUUUUCAUAAUAUUAAUACCGUUAAAACACCUGAAUCUGGGAAAUAAAAUUUCAUGAAUGAUUUAGGUUCAACCUUUUAGAUCCUGGAAAAUCUGUAAUUGAAAGGAGCAACCACCAACAUGGAGAAGGCAAUGGCACCCCACUCCAGUACUCUUGCCUGGAAAACCCCAUGGACAGAGGAGCCUGGUAGGCUGCAGUCCAUGGGGUUGCUAAGAGUCGGACACGACUGAGCAACUUCACUUUCACUUUUCACUUCCAUGCAUUGGAGAAGGAAAUGGCAACCCACUCCAGUGUUUUUGCCUGGAGAAUCCCAGGGACAAGGGAGCCGGGUGGGCUGCCGUUUAUGGGGUCGCAGAGAGUCAGACACGACUGAAGUGACUUAACAGCAACCACCAAC